UGACUUUGGCCUGUCCAUCACCCAGUGGCAGUUAGAGGAGCUUCAUUCAUCAAGUUCUUCCAGUCUUGCUUUUGCUAAGCUCUCCUCCCCAUCCACUUGCAGUAGAGGAAGUUGGGUUGAGUGAAUUUCCACCUGAAAUGACAAUUUCUUGGCUCUUGUCUUUGCGAUACAGUUGAGCUGAGUCUCCGGCUCCAUUUCUAUCCCACCCCUUGUGGAGAGAACAUCACCAUGACCGUCCCUGGGAGGAUUCAUCAAGGAAAGCAGCGAGCAGCACAGCAGGAACCAACUGUUGGAACAUGAAGCUCCGAGGAGCUUGGUCGUGCCCUGCUGGAAGCCCUCCUGGCACUGGUGCUGUCCUGGAGUAUGAGGUCCCCACGGCCAUUGGCUGCCUUGAGCUUCCUGCUCCUCUGUUUCCUGCCUUGUGAGGGCUGGUGAUGGCACUGUCCUUGGUGGAUGGGAUUGCUGUGCCAUCUAUGGCUGCAAAUAAUCCGUGCAACUUGUUCCCAUCCAGCACAAUUUCACACUGCACAAGUGAGACGGGGACUAUCGUAUUGUCAAGAACUCUCUGAGCUCUCCCUUCCCUGGGGCUAUUUGGA